AUACUUACCUGGCAGGGGAGACACCAUGAUCAAGAAGGAGCAUCGCUUCUCGGCCGGCUCGUCCAUUGCACUCCGGCCGUGCUGACCCCUGCGAAUUCCCCAAAUGUGGGAAUCUCGACUGCAUAAUUUAUGGUAGCGGGGGACUGCGUUCGCGCUCUCCCCUG
rnacentral:snRNA from 1 species